AUUUAAAGGUGAUUUACUCAUACUACUAAAAAAACAACUGGAGAAAUGUUAAUGUUAAUAGUACAGUGUGUAGAAAUGGAAAUAAAAGGCAAAAUCUAGCACUCAAUUUCUAGAUUGAAGUACUCCUUUGCUGAACGGACAGUAGCUUUUGAGGACAAUAAGCUCCUGUGAUUGCCUGACAAGUAUGAUCCUCCAUUUGUCAACCUUUUACAAUCAAUUAAGUCUGUCUGAAAAAUUAUUACAUUCACUAAAUAUAAAAAUGCAUGUGUUACUAAUUUGUCCAUUCUGUGCUACAGGACGUAGGCUGGAUGUGGCUGCCAGUUUGCACCUAUGGCCCCCCGACCACCACCACACAACACUCACAAUCAUAUACCAGUGGAGGACACACACACUGGGAGCAAGGUGGGUUAGGUCAGACUAGGGAUAGGGCGGGGUUCAAACUGCCAACUUUCCAGUUAUUGGCCGACCUCUCUACCUCCUGAGCUACUGCCGCCCUGUUCAUAACGAUCAAAGAUUUUUGAGUACCUAGGUGAUUAUGCACUAAUUUACAUGUAACUACAGAUGUUAUGUUCCACUCUUACCAAGUCUGCUCUGCUAAAUGCCACUAAAACUACACACUGUACCUUUAACAUGUCUGUCCAUGUUUAGCUCUCCUUUUUAAAAUGAGGCUCACAGCUUUUUAACCUUGUUGCUUUCAUUACUAUUGCUUCUGGUUUAAGUUACUUCGUGGUUCGAGCUCAUCAGUUCUGUUGCUGUUGCCUGGAUUGCAGGACACAAUGUUACUCCACCUUCAACUAAUCAGAGAUGGACGGGGC